rnacentral:tRNA from 1 species
GGUCUUAUAUUCAAUGAUGAUUUUAGACUGCAAUUCUAAAGGUGUAAUAAUAUACUAAGGCCU